GAUGAACGCUGGCGGCGUGCCUAAUACAUGCAAGUCGAGCGAACGGACGAGAAGCUUGCUUCUCUGAUGUUAGCGGCGGACGGGUGAGUAACACGUGGAUAACCUACCUAUAAGACUGGGAUAACUUCGGGAAACCGUAGCUAAUACCGGAUAAUAUUUUGAACCGCAUGGUUCAAAAGUGAAAGACGGUCUUGCUGUCACUUAUAGAUGGAUCCGCGCUGCAUUAGCUAGUUGGUAAGGUAACGGCUUACCAAGGCAACGAUGCAUAGCCGACCUGAGAGGGUGAUCGGCCACACUGGAACUGAGACACGGUCCAGACUCCUACGGGAGGCAGCAGUAGGGAAUCUUCCGCAAUGGGCGAAAGCCUGACGGAGCAACGCCGCGUGAGUGAUGAAGGUCUUCGGAUCGUAAAACUCUGUUAUUAGGGAAGAACAUAUGUGUAAGUAAAUGCGCACAUCUUGACGGUACCUAAUCAGAAAGCCACGGCUAACUACGUG
rnacentral:rRNA from 1 species